UAAAAUACUGUAUAUUCUAAGUCAUUUAAUUUUCAGUCUGUAAUGAGUAUGUCAUCAAGUGCCUUAAUUCUUUUUCUUUUUAGCCCACGUACGCAGCGGUUCGGCAAGAAGCAUUAGUUUAUUUCAGCAACCCGCCGGCUCAAAUCCGUCCACAGCGUUGCCAGCUCAACAUCACGCAUCCGAGGAGGAGCUUCGAUGUAUCCUGGAGUUUCACCAGCAGGGUCACCGGUGACAUGUUUGGAAGUGGCGGGCGGUACAGUCAUUACUGGCAGCCAGGGCCACACUGUUAACGUGUUCCGGCUUGAUAGCCACCUAUUGCAGUUCACCCUAAACGGCCAUUGCGGUCCUAUCACAUGUAUUUUCAUAGACCAGUGGCAGGCCGAGAUGGGCGCAUCUGGUUGCCAGGAUGGUGUGCUAUGUGUGUGGGACUUGAUACGGGGUGCCUGUAUGUACAAAAUUGAAGCCCAUGACGACAUGACGUCGCACUUGCCUGUUCCCCGAGUUACGCAAUAUCGCUCGGACUGAACGAACGAAUACGGUUUUGGGAUAGAUUUCAGGGUCAGCCGCUCAACACCAUGACCGUCAGUCAUGCAUAUUCAUCGCUUGUGAUGCUGACGCUUCUGAACGAAGCCAUUGCUAGCACGAGUUUUUGAUUUGGAAGGAUAGUUGCUGAGGACCAUUCUCACAAUAAGUUUAUAAUAUCCAUUACAUGAUCAAAUGCGCUGAUGGGUUAGGCUUUGGAUUCGGCUAUAUUCCAUCGUCAUUGAAGCUAGAUCAUAGAAUCAUGUUAAUUUGACAGACUGCAAGUGUUAUUAGUAGCACAAACAGCUAGCAGCCCAGCUAGUAUUGUUCUUUCUGCUUGCAACCAACCUGGUUAUAUUGAUGUCAAUGCUAAAUUCGCUGUUGCAGCUGUAUGGUCGCUAUACUGUUCCAUGUGUUAUGGGAUUCGCUAUUAACAUGGGACAGUUAUGCUUAGAGCACCAGAUUCUAAAAGCGACUAAUUUUGGCCAAUCACUGGAGACAAAAUCACGCGUAACAAUUAAUAAUAAAUUAAAUUGUUGCUGAGUAAUUUUUGUUGUACAUGAAUAAAACAUACCGAUUGCCUCGUUACCUAUGCUGCCGUGAUCCGCAUAACAGU